GACGAACGCUGACGGCGUGCCUAAUACAUGCAAGUCGAACGAAGCUUUUUUAACUGGUGCUUGCACCGACUUAAACAACUGAGUGGCGAACGGGUGAGUAACACGUUGGUAACCUGCCCCAAAGCGGGGGAUAACAUUUGGAAACAGAUGCUAAUACCGCAUAACCACAGAAACCACAUGGUUUUUGUGUCAAAGAUGGUUUCGGCUAUGACUUUGGGAUGGACCCGAGGCGUAUUAGCUAGUUGGUAAGGUAAUGGCUUACCAAGGCAAUGAUAAGUAGCCGAACUGAGAGGGUGAUCGGCCACAUUGGGACUGAGACACGGCCCAAACUCCUACGGGAGGCAGCAGUAGGGAGUCUUCCACAAUGGACGAAAGUCUGAUGGAGCAACGCCGCGUGAGUGAAGAAGGUUUUCGGAUCGUAAAACUCUGUUGUCAGAGAAGAACGUGUGCGAGAGUAACUGUUCGUGCAGUGACGGUAUCUGGCCAGAAAGCCACGGCUAACUACGUGCCAGCAGCCGCAGUAA
rnacentral:rRNA from 1 species